GAGAAAUGCCUCUCAGGACACUUUUUGGAGUGCCCACUGUGGUGAAGUAAUAGCAAAAUGUAAAUGGGAUGAAGGAGGGCACGGGGGCUCCAGAGCCACAGUCCUGGGGUAGACUCCUGCCUCUGCCUAUUACCAGCCACUAUGACCUGAAGCAGCUGAGUUUUCUCAUUUGGAAGAUGGACAUAAAACUCUGGACAUCGCCAGGUUCUCAUGAAGACAAUGCAAGAUCACGUGACUGGCAGGCAGGACUCAAAUUCAAGUUGGAAAAUCAUCCAGUGAGAAACAGCCGUGACUUCAGGACUGGAAAGAGCUGUCCCAUUUUGCUUUGUUUUGGGAAACUGAUGGUAAUAAUAAUCAUCCCUGACUCUAUUGUGUCUCACA